GGUCCAGAGCGGACAGCGCACAGCCUCCCGGCUUGCUGUCCCGGCAACCUCGCUCCGCACAAGGUGCCUCCGGGAGAAGACCGGGUCGACCGCGUCCGCGGUCGGCAAGGGUGGGGC
rnacentral:ncRNA from 2 species